CCUACGGGAGGCAGCAGAGGGGAAUAUUGCGCAAUGGGCGAAAGCCUGACGCAGCAACGCCGCGUGAGUGAUGAAGGCCUUCGGGUUGUAAAGCUCUUUCGGUUGGGAAGAAGGGUGUGCGUACUAAUAAUGCGUACAUUUGAUGGUACCAAAAGAAGAAGCACCGGCUAACUUCGUGCCAGCAGCCGCGGUAAUACGAAGGGUGCGAGCGUUGUUCGGAAUGACUGGGCGUAAAGGGUUCGUAGGCGGGAACGCAAGUCAAGUGUGAAAUCCCCAGGCUCAACCUGGGACGUGCACUUGAAACUGCGUUUCUUGAGUCGAGGAGAGGGUAAUGGAAUUGCUGGUGUAGGAGUGACAUCCGUAGAGAUCAGCAGGAACACCGGAGGCGAAGGCGAUUACCUGGCCGAAGACUGACGCUGAGGAACGAAAGCGUGGGGAGCAAACAGGAUUAGAUACCCUGGUAGUCCACGCCGUAAACGAUGAUAACUAGAUGUUGCGGGAAUUGACCCCCGCAGUAUCGCAGCUCACGCAUUAAGUUAUCCGCCUGGGGAGUACGGCCGCAAGGCUAAAACUCAAAGGAAUUGACGG
rnacentral:rRNA from 1 species